AACGAACGCUGGCGGCAUGCCUAACACAUGCAAGUCGAACGAGACCUUCGGGUCUAGUGGCGCACGGGUGCGUAACGCGUGGGAACCUGCCCUUAGGUUCGGAAUAACUCUCCGAAAGGGGUGCUAAUACCGGAUAAUGUCUUCGGACCAAAGAUUUAUCGCAUUUGGAUGGGCCCGCGUUGGAUUAGCUAGUUGGUAGGGUAAAAGCCUACCAAGGCGAGGAUCCAUAGCUGGUCUGAGAGGAUGAUCAGCCACACUGGGACUGAGACACGGCCCAGACUCCUACGGGAGGCAGCAGUGGGGAAUAUUGGACAGUGGGCGAAAGCCUGAUCCAGCAAUGCCGCGAGAGUGAUGAAGGCCUUAGGGUUGUAAAGCGCUUUUACCCGGGAUGAUAAUGACAGUACCGGGAGAAUAAGCCCCGGCUAACUCCGUG
rnacentral:rRNA from 1 species